ensembl:snRNA U6 U6 spliceosomal RNA
GUGCUCGCUCUGGCAGCACACGUACUAAAACCAGAACCACACAGAGACGGUCGGCAAGGCCCUGCACAAGGAUGAUACACACAUUUGUGAAGCAUUCCAUAUUUUU